ensembl:snoRNA SNORA66 Small nucleolar RNA SNORA66
UGUCAAAAUUGCCAUCCCAUUUGCUAAAGUAAUUGUGGUGAUAGAAAUGUAUUAGCCUCAGAAGCUACUGAGGUGGUUCAUUCUAUCCUAGUACAGUG